GACGAACGCUGGCGGCGUGCUUAACACAUGCAAGUCGAACGGAAAGGCCCUGCUUUUGUGGGGUGCUCGAGUGGCGAACGGGUGAGUAACACGUGAGUAACCUGCCCUUGACUUUGGGAUAACUUCAGGAAACUGGGGCUAAUACCGGAUAGGAGCUCCUGCUGCAUGGUGGGGGUUGGAAAGUUUCGGCGGUUGGGGAUGGACUCGCGGCUUAUCAGCUUGUUGGUGGGGUAGUGGCUUACCAAGGCUUUGACGGAUAGCCGGCAUGAGAGGGUGACCGGCAACAUUGGGACUGAGAUACGGCACAGAAUACUACGGGAGGCAGCAGUGGGGAAUAUUGCACAAUGGGAGGAAGCAUGAUGCAGAAACGCAGCGUGCGGGAUGACGGCCUUCGGGUUGUAAACAGAUUUCGAAUGUGAAGAAGAGUGAGUGACGGUAAUGGGUAAAGAAGCACCGGCUAACUACGUG
rnacentral:rRNA from 1 species